UAGCCUGUGGCACGUGUGGCUCCUACCCACGAUGGGGGAUUGGCCAAGAAAUGGGUGGAUUAUUCCAAAAUAAUAUAGAGCAUAAAUUUCCUAAUAUCUAUGGGAAUAGCAUUGAAUAGGGUUGAAUUACCGGCUAAAAUAAAAUCAGGAAGGUGCUGUUGAAUGAGGAAUAAUUAAUUUAAAAGUAAUUAAAAAAUAGAAUUUAGCAGGGCAUUCGUUUAGAUUCUGUAAGGAAUGUUUGGACAAAGAAGCGUGCAUCCUUGCGGCUGAAUCCCGAAGUGGACGCCCCGAACGAAAGAAUUGCAGGUUCUGUCAAGUCCAGGCCAAUUCUUCGAAAAGGGCCAGCGCACUAAUUAAUAUGACAUUUUACAACGACGAAGAUGAGUACGACAGGUACGACUAUGACGACACAUUAUCGACCACAGCUAGUAGUGAGCCGCAGAAAUACACCCGCAUGAGUUCGACCAUAAAAGAAACUGCCUAUGGCUUUUCUCUAUCAGCACCACAGUGGAUGUUCUUGUACACAACUGAAAAUUGUUCUGUUGUAGAAGUACUAGGUGGUUUUAUUGACAACUGCAAUGGUUCCAAGAAGACAGCCUCUGAAAGCAACAGCCUUCCUAAAAGCGCCAGUUCAUCCAACAUCUGGAACUGCUUAAAGCAUCGUUGUGAACUUUGGGUGCGCCGCGAUUACGAUAAAGUUCGCCAUAUACAAGGGGAACUGAGGAAUUGGUACUGCUGCCAAGAAUUCUUCAACCGUACUUGUGCCAAUUCGACUAUACUACGAGUAUACGACGCUAAUAAGUGCCUCCACAAAAAAGGGGCGCCACAUUGUUAAUAAAGUUUA